UCUCGGGAGCUUUCCCCGGG
rnacentral:snRNA from 1 species